UUUGGAUGCAUCUUGAUUUCCUUAGUAUGAUUAGACGGUUCGGAUGCGCCUAAUAAACAAACCUAAUUUGCCUCGCGCGUUCAGUCAUCACAUUCCUUCGUCUAAAACCUCACGCAGAGAUAGAGCUCCCCCAAAACCCUAAACGUCCAAAGGUAAUUUUGUUUAAUUUUUCAAUUAUUUUUAAUUAUCUGACGAAUCCCUAGCAUAAAUUCACUCUCUCUCUCUACUCUAAAUGCGUAUAAUUUUUUGCAGAAUUAAUCACAAAGCUACGGAGCUGAAAACGCUGUCCAUGGCUCGCUUCAAAAAUGUAAGCUUGAAAUUUUUAGGUUCUGUUUGGUUGUUGGAAAACUGAAUCAAAGAGGUUUUUUUUUUUUUUUUGUUGAUUUUCUCAGAAACGUAGUUGAUUGUUGUGUUUCUGAAAAUUUGAAAACAAAAGAAGAAGGUGUUUGUGAAGUCGGUUUCGAUGAAGAAGCAGGCUAAUAUGGACCAUAUCACAGGGGAUAAAAUCCCAAGGAGCUUAGCGAAAUGUAUGUCUUAUGUUGGUGGAUUCUGUAUCGAAUUUGUUGUUGGUUUGUUUUCUUAAAGGUUGAUCCGGAUGAAGUGAAUGCCCUGGCUCAACUCAUGACCUGGAAGACUACUGUGGCCGACAUUCCAUAUGGUGGAGCCAAGGGUAGAAUCGGAUGCAACCCCAGGGACUUAGAUUUGAGCGAGUUGGAGCGUCUGACUCGCGUCUUCGCUCAGAAAAUCCAUGACCUCAUUGGAACUCAUACUGAUGUUCCUGCACCCGAUAUGGGCACCUAUGUUCAGACCAUGGCAUGGAUGUUGGAUGAGUACUCCAAAUUUCAUGGUCACUCACCAGCUGUUGUCACUGGAAAGCCCAUCAUAAGUAUUCGACAUUGAGAAAAUUAAGCCAAAAAUCGGUUUCCUGGAGUUGAAAAGCACUGAUUGCAUUAAAAAAAGGUUCCUAGUUAAUCAACUAUAGCCGGAAAGGGAAGCCAAAACUUCGUCCAUUCAGAAUUUCUACUGAUGAAACCACACUAAUCUGGUAUUCACAUGGAGAAGAACGAACUCUGAAAUUAGCUUCUGCCUCUCGAAUUAUCCCCGGACAGAGAACAAAUUUGAAAAGGUGGUUGUGGUUUCGUGCGAUUGCCGUUAUACAGCUUAGACCAUCACAAUUCACCAUUGUCACCCCAUCACUGCCGUCGUGACCACCGCCGCCACAUAACCGCUGUCGAAAACACUAGAGCCAACGUUAUGUUGCUAACGAAGGCAAAAACAAGAUGCAGUUUGCUGCAUAUAGAAAACGGAGAUUAAUUUGGUUCUCACUAAAUAAAUCAAAGAUCACAAGACUAGAACCAGUGGUUUCCAAAAAAGGACUUUAUCUACCGUUUACAAGUCAACCCCACAAUACCAAAUUACAAGAGAAGCAAAGAUUUGAGGUGAUUUUUGCUCUUAACUUAUUUAGAUUUUAUAUUCUGGGUUAAUUAUCAACCGGAUUCUGUUACUAGAUUUAGAAUUGUAAUUUGGUACCACUGCUGCCACCUGCCGCUUCAAUUUUCACAUCCUAAUGCCACAAAAUGCUAAUUUUAAAUUCUAGGUUAUGGGUAAGCAUUUGUAUUUGGAGGCACAAAUUCUUUUCAGCCGCUAAACCAAGUUCUAAAUCUUUUUUCGUGUAGUUUAUGUUAGGCUAUUCAAGCCCUAUUUUAAAUGUAUAAUUGGUUUGCGUGAAAUGAAUGAAAAAGAGAGUUAGAAUACCCUGUGAGAUGACCGAUUCCAGAAACCAUUUUAAAUAAA